rnacentral:rRNA from 1 species
GAUGAACGCUGGCGGCGUGCCUAAUACAUGCAAGUCGAGCGAACAGACGAGGAGCUUGCUCCUCUGACGUUAGCGGCGGACGGGUGAGUAACACGUGGAUAACCUACCUAUAAGACUGGGAUAACUUCGGGACACCGGAGCUAAUACCGGAUAAUAUAUUGAACCGCAUGGUUCAAUAGUGAAAGACGGUUUUGCUGUCACUUAUAGAUGGAUCCGCGCCGCAUUAGCUAGUUGGUAAGGUAACGGCUUACCAAGGCAACGAUGCGUAGCCGACCUGAGCGGGUGAUCGGCCACACUGGAACUGAGACACGGUCCAGACUCCUACGGGAGGCAGCAGUAGGGAAUCUUCCGCAAUGGGCGAAAGCCUGACGGAGCAACGCCGCGUGAGUGAUGAAGGUCUUCGGAUCGUAAAACUCUGUUAUUAGGGAAGAACAAAUGUGUAAGUAACUAUGCACGUCUUGACGGUACCUAAUCAGAAAGCCACGGCUAACUACGUG